rnacentral:misc_RNA from 1 species
ACAGCUCUACCACCAGCCAGCGCCAAGAGCCGAGCAUCAUAGCGGGAAAAAAAUCAAUGGCGAGCAAUCAGACGCAGAGAGUAAUAAUGGCGGACUGGAGGCAGAGAGUGUAAGAGUCUGCACAACGGACCAACCUGGUGCCACUGUCUCAAACGUCGGCCUGUCAACUCCGUAAAUUCUUUGAAAAAUCUCAGCAUUGUGGGAAAAGGACCAAAUUCGUCAACACUGUGUGACCGAAUUUUUCUUGCUUCCUGAAGGGAAGGAAGCGGUGGUGCGCGGGGCUUCACAAAUAUGGUAGUUCCAGGAAUUGGCGAUUAUCGCUGUUUUGGUUUUGGAUCUAUUUGACGAAUUGUUGUGUUUCAGGAAGGGAUUUUUUUUUCGCAGAGAAAACGUCGGCCCGGAGGUCCCCAAACAUGUUCUCAAACUGUCUUUCUAAGCUUAUAAUGUCGCGGGAUCACUAAAUUUCUGGCUGGGACAUUUCUAAAGGUAUACCUUAUUAUUGUCUUAAGUUAUACAGUGCCUGUCAAAGUUUGUAGCAUUUGAAAUCGAGUGUUUAUAAUAAUUUUUCGUUUAUUCAAAAGACGAACGAAACGA